UUAAUUAACAGAAUCCUAAUACUUCUGAAGGAGGUCAGUGCCAUAAGCAGUGUUUUAUCCUUAAUUGAGGCUAUUGCGGAUACACAGUAACAUUAACAAACAACGAAAGCACAGUGAACAUUGGGUUUAUACAAAGUCUCCCAUAAUCAAAUAGGGAAAUCAAUAGGGAAACCCUGCCAUAAAAUAAUAACUCAUAUUCUAAUGUGAAUGUAAUAACUUUAAAUAAGGUGUGAUAUCACAUUUUCCUUAUGUCAGUCACACAAAAGACAGGUGAGUCUGUGAGGUUAUGCUGUGAUGUCAUAAUGGGACUCAAACCAGAAAGAACCAGUCCCGGCUGGCCUGGUGGGGUCUGUGAGGUCAUGCUGUGAUGUCAUAACGGUAUCAACUGCCUAUAUCCCGGCUUGGCUGCUGCCUCUCUCAUUCUCCUUCAAUACCUGGAGACACAAAGCUCACCGGCAGGAGUAGAAACAACUGGCAGGAGAAACACACUUGGCUGAGCACUAUGGCCCCGAGAUGGAUGAUCACACUGUGGGAGACGAUAACUGCCUGCUGUCCAUGCAGAAGAUACAGGAGCUGGAAUGCACAGAGAAGAGAUGCCCACUUGCCUCGCCAUACCAGGCUUGAGGAAGAAAUGCCUCCAACCAAGCCAGUGGGUUAUGAUCACUCUGAUGGCAGUUUAUCCAAAAAACUAUCUCCCAGUGAGAAGAACAAGGAUCGCCAGAUAAAAGUCCUCGAUCUCAUUAACAAACAGUUAGUCGAGGAGAACAACUUGUUAGCAGCAGAAAACACCUUAUUAAAGAUCAAGGUUGAAAUGCUUAAAGACACGCUAACGAAGGUCAUAGAGCUGUUGUAGGCCCCUGUGUAACUCCGCCGCCGUUACGGAGGCUCACCCAGUAGCUGACCAGUAACCAUGGAUUCUUAUCUUUAUGCACUCACCUAUUAGAGCAGGGGGAAAUAUGCACUGAGAGGUUUCUGUAAUCUUCUAAUCGAAAAGGAGCGACCUUUCUUUUUUGAAGUCUGCAGAAAUCUGUCAGUGUGUAUUUUCCACCUUUUCUCACCUUCUCUAAUAGGUAAGUACAUAAAAACAGUGAUCCAUGGCCAACAUCUACUGGUUACAGCUUACUGUGGUUAUACCUGGUAGUUAAUCUUUAACAUCAAUAAAGAGCCAGAGCAAA